GCGAGUAUAGGUUAUACUAUCUUAAACCCGCAAGUUUAUUUUUUGCAAAAGCCUAGGCUGUUCGUA
rnacentral:tRNA from 1 species